UGCAAGCUAUGACUUGGGGAUGCACCUCAACACAGCCUCUGCUCUCUGGAUUUUGGGGAAAAUACUUGAAAAAAAAUUCUGGGGAAAAUCCAGAGCCUCGAUUUUCUCUGUGGUCAGCAAAGGAGCAGUGGAGCAUCGCAGAGGGGUCCCGGCAGCUCUGAGAGCAGCACGAGCAGCAGUCCCUGCAACGCCUGCCAUGGCUUGGCUUUAUGACAGCUGAUGUGAGUACCUUUAACUGGUUCCAUCCUACACUUACCUAUCAUACAGCCUCACACGGGGUCAUUGGCGUUCAUCUGACAAGAAAAUGAAGGAAUUCAGGAAGCAAAACCAGCAUGAAACUCUUCCACAGGGGAGAGGGGUGGGAUCCGGUUUCCUGCCAGGUCACAUCUCCAAGUUGAAUCACCGUGAGGUCAAAGCAUCACCAGAGCUGACGCCAGGGAAGUUACCUGAACAGGCAGGUGGGAACGAGGGAGGUGCCCAACUGCUCCUUGGCACAGCUGCACGGGACCAGCUCAGCCUCUACAGCAAAAUCUUCCUCUGGGGAAUCCCAUACCCAAACUGAAGAAUACAAACCAGGAUUCUUAUGUAAAAUAACUCCUUUCCUUAACACAGUCUUUUUUUUUCAGCUACAAUUGCUAGUCAAGGAGACAGAAGAGGUUAAUCAUCCACCCAACUGACUGCAGGCAGCUCAACAAAUAAGCAGAGAUCAGCCCAGAGGCCCUCAGCUCAUGUAAAUCACCAUCGUUUCAUCAAGCUUGGAGCUUACACCAUCAUGCACUCACUCAGGAUCUAAAACUCAAAUCUGUAAAUGAAAAUGAUGCUAAUUACAGUUCACCACCGAGCAACACUACCUUAAUUUUAAGGAAAUGAAGGAAACGGGCUUGCUCCGUGCCAGUCGAUAUCGUAUUGCCAUACAACUAACUUAAAGUUGUAUAAGUUAGAUUAUAACUUUUGAAGAAGCAAUUAUGAUUUUAUUGCACCCACUCUGCUGAUGAUUAAUGCAGAGAGCCUAGGGGAAAAUGCAUCCUAUCAUUUGCUAACAUGCACUAUAAUUAUGCAUACCUCUCCAGGUACUGUAAUUUAGGACUUAAAGAGCAACAUUCUGAACGAGGACUGCUGCACUUGUAAAACAUUACAGAUGUGUUAUCAUAUAAAUGAGGUAGCUUUGACAUGAUAGUGUUCUAAUAAAUCCUCAGCUAAGAUUUGGAGACAAGAUAUGUCAAAAGCAAAAUCCAAACUCUCUCUUAAUCUUCUUCAUAAACUGUUUAUUUUUUCUGAGCCCUACAAUAAUACAUGUGUCAAGAAGGCUUUGAUGGUUUCUAGAUUAAAGUACAGUUGGGUUCGAUUUUUUUUUCCCCUUUACAGGUCAUCUUGAGAAUGCUCAUUUUAGUUAAAUUAACUCAGCUAUUUGCAGGUUUCAAAUGUGAAGCAAAAUAAAACAGUUUUCA